GAGUUUGAUCCUGGCUCAGGACGAACGCUGGCGACACGCCUAACACAUGCAAGUCGAACGGUGAAGGGGGAGCUUGCUCCUCCGGAACAGUGGCGGACGGGUGAGUAACACGUGAGCAACCUGCCUUUCAGAGGGGGACAACAGUUGGAAACGACUGCUAAUACCGCAUAAUGUAUUUUGGCGGCAUCGCCGGAAUACCAAAGGAGCAAUCCGCUGAAAGAUGGGCUCGCGUCUGAUUAGAUAGUUGGUGAGGUAACGGCUCACCAAGUCGACGAUCAGUAGCCGGACUGAGAGGUUGAACGGCCACAUUGGGACUGAGACACGGCCCAGACUCCUACGGGAGGCAGCAGUGGGGGAUAUUGGACGAUGGGGGAAACCCUGAUCCAGCGAUGCCGCGUGAGGGAAGAAGGUUUUCGGAUUGUAAACCUCUGUGGAGGGGGGCGAUAAUGACGGUACCCCUUUAGGAAGCCACGGCUAACUACGUGCCAGCAGCCGCGGUAAUACGUAGGUGGCGAGCGUUGUCCGGAAUUACUGGGUGUAAAGGGAGUGUAGGCGGGAAAGCAAGUCAGAAGUGAAAACUAUGGGCUUAACCCAUAGC
rnacentral:rRNA from 1 species